GAUCAUUGAAAAUAGCGCAAAAAGGCGGUCGGGCGCGGCAUGUGUGGAGCUGAGCUGCGGCCCAGCCCAUUACACCGCGCCCGAUCGCCGCGUUCGGGGGGCCGCCCCUCGGGGCCGCCCCUGUCUGCACCCUCUGCCAUUGUCGCACCUCGCGUUUCCUCGGCGGGCCCGCCCGCCAACGGGGACCCCAAACCAAACCCACUUGCAGUGCCUGCAGUAAACGUCUCACAAAAGAAAUAAAUCAAAACUUUCAACAACGGAUCUCUUGGUUCUGGCAUCGAUGAAGAACGCAGCGAAAUGCGAUAAGUAGUGUGAAUUGCAGAAUUCAGUGAAUCAUCGAAUCUUUGAACGCACAUUGCGCCCUUUGGUAUUCCUUAGGGCAUGCCUGUUCGAGCGUCAUCUAACCCCUCAAGCACCGCUUGGUGUUGGGCGCUUGUCCCCGCCCCCGCGCGCGGACUCGCCUCGAAGACAUUGGCGGCCUGUGUAUUGGCUACGAGCGCAGCAGACCCGCGCCUCGUCUCCUCUCCGCGCAGGCGCCCACGAAGCGCAACCCCCCCAAUUUUGACCUCGGAUCAGGUAGGGAUACCCGCUGAACUUAAGCAUAUCAAUAAGCGGAGGAAAAGAAACCAACAGGGAUUGCCCCAGUAACGGCGAGUGAAGCGGCAACAGCUCAAAUUUGAAAUCUGGCUCCCUCGGGCGCCCGAGUUGUAAUUUGCAGAGGGUGCUUUGGCGUCGGCAGCGGCCUAAGUUCCUUGGAACAGGGCGUCACAGAGGGUGAGAACCCCGUACGUGGCCGCCCGCCUUCGCCGUGUAAAGCCCCUUCGACGAGUCGAGUUGUUUGGGAAUGCAGCUCUAAAUGGGAGGUAAAUUCCUUCUAAAGCUAAAUACUGGCCAGAGACCGAUAGCGCACAAGUAGAGUGAUCGAAAGAUGAAAAGCACUUUGGAAAGAGAGUCAAAAAGCACGUGAAAUUGUUGAAAGGGAAGCGCUUGCAGCCAGACUUGCCCGCGGUCGAUCUUCUUCCGCGGUCAGGCCAGCAUCAGUCUGGGCGGUCGGAUAAAGGCCUCGGGAAUGUAGCUCUCUCCGGGGAGUGUUAUAGCCCGGGGCGCCAUGCGGCCAGCCAGGACUG
rnacentral:misc_RNA from 1 species